UACGUAGGGUCCGAGCGUUGUCCGGAAUUACUGGGCGUAAAGAGCUCGUAGGUGGUUUGUCGCGUUGUUCGUGAAAACUCACAGCUUAACUGUGGGCGUGCGGGCGAUACGGGCAGACUGGAGUACUGCAGGGGAGACUGGAAUUCCUGGUGUAGCGGUGGAAUGCGCAGAUAUCAGGAGGAACACCCGUGGCGAAGGCGGCUCUCUGGGACGGUACUGACGCUGAGACGCGAAAGCGUGGGGAGCGAACAGG
rnacentral:rRNA from 1 species